GUGGUUCUGUAUGGAAGGGCCAUCGCUCAACGGAUAAAAGGUACUCCGGGGAAAACAGGAUGAUUCCGCCCAAGAGUUCAUAUUGACGGCGGAGUUUGGCACCUCGAUGUCGGCUCAUCACAUCCUGAGGCUGUAGUCGGUCCCAAGGGGAUGGCUGUUCGCCAUUUAAAGUGGUACGUGAGCUGGGUUUAAAACGUCGUGAGACAGUUUGGUCCCUAUCUGCAGUGGGCGUUGGGAGUUUGACGGGGGCUGCUCCUAGUACGAGAGGACCGGAGGGGACGAACCUCUGGCGUACCGGUUGUGACGCCAGUCGCAUCGCCGGGUAGCUAAGCUCGGAAGAGAUAAGCGCUGAAAGCAUCUAAGCGCGAAACUCGCCUGAAGAUGAGA
rnacentral:rRNA from 1 species